rnacentral:rRNA from 1 species
UACGUAGGUGGCAAGCGUUUGUCCGGAAUUAUUGGGCGUAAAGCGCGCGCAGGCGGUCCUUUAAGUCUGAUGUGAAAGCCCUCGGCUCAACCGAGGAGGGUCAUUGGAAACUGGAGGGCUUGAGUGCAGAAGAGGAAAGUGGAAUUCCAAGUGUAGCGGUGAAAUGCGUAGAGAUUUGGAGGAACACCAGUGGCGAAGGCGGCAUCCUGGACCGGUAUUGACGCUGAGGCGCGAAAGCUAGGGUAGCAAACGGGG